rnacentral:rRNA from 1 species
ACGGAGGGUGCGAGCGUUGUCCGGAAUCACUGGGCGUAAAGGGCGCGUAGGCGGCGCGGGAAGUCAUCGGUGAAAGUUCAGGGCUCAACUCUGAAUCGGCCGGUGAUACUCUCGUGCUCGAGCACUGUAGAGGCAGGUGGAAUUCCGGGUGUAGCGGUGGAAUGCGUAGAGAUCCGGAAGAACACCGGUGGCGAAGGCGGCCUGCUGGGCAGUAGCUGACGCUGAUGCGCGACAGCGUGGGGAGCAAACAGGA